rnacentral:pre_miRNA from 1 species
AAAAAAAUAGGACCGUCCGUCUGCCGAGCAACAUCAUCAGCUCAGUGGAAGAUCUUCCCUUUGUCGU